rnacentral:rRNA from 1 species
AUACGGAGGGUGCAAGCGUUACUCGGAAUCACUGGGCGUAAAGCGCGCGCAGGCGGGCUGAUAAGUUGGAUGUGAAAGCCUACGGCUCAACCGUAGAACUGCAUCCAAAACUGUCAGUCUAGAGUCUAGGAGGGGAAGAUGGAAUUAGUUGUGUAGGGGUAAAAUCCGUAGAGAUAACUAGGAAUACCAAAAGCGAAGGCGAUCUUCUGGAACAGUACUGACGCUGAGGCGCGAAAGCGUGGGGAGCAAACAGGAUUAGAAACCCCAGUAGUCC